AUUCUUAGUUUGUAGCUACGUGGAUCAAGUCACUUUCUAUUUACUCAAUCAGAAUACAGAAACAGUUGAGCCAAUUUCUGUGUUCUUUUCUUUAGGCUGUGACAGAAGAUUCAAUUCUGCACUUGGGAAAGAGGAAGAGGACUCUGCUGAAGGAAUAGACAUCGUGUGGCUGCCAGAGAUGCACGCUGCAGUAGAACUUAACAGUAGUGUAUUUCUUGGCUGAGAUUUGGAAGCCGGGAUGUGUUGCUGUGAGUGCUCCAGAAUACCUUCAGUGUUAGCCUUUGAAAGGUCUCCCAAAAGACCUGGGGUUAUUACAGAAAUCCUCACGUUUGAGAGAAACAAGGCUUGUAAGGAAAGCUACUAUCUUCUAGUAGGCUGCCUCAUAGAAUUGGAAGAAACAGGCUCAGAUUACCCACAGAAGUCUCUCAUAGUAAAAUUAUUCAGAAAAACUUUUUAAAAACUGUGUACUUACUGAGAUUCUCUGCGUCUGAUCCAGUAAAGGUUCUAACUGUGUGCUCUGUUACUGUUGUUCCUGCCUAUCCAUCCUUGUUAUGUUUGGGCUGUCUUCCUCAGGUGGUCUAUUUGGAUAACAUAGAUGGAACUAAGUAAAUGUUUAAUCAUAACUGUGAUGUUGGUCCUCCUAAAGUCCUGGUUUGAAGAGAUCAGCCCAUGAAGCUUUUGUACACAUCAGUGUUAGGUCUGCAGCUGUCCUCCUGGGCACGGAUAUCUGACAUUUCUCUUAUUGUUAUUAAGGUCAUGCCCUUAUUCCACCACACCUGGCACAAAGCUGGGAUCCCUCCUGCCUUGCCUCCUUGCUUCACCAAGUUUGCAACGCUUGCAAUGUAUUCAUGAGAUUGUCAAUGAUGUUCUGUGUGGUUGUUUUACUGCUGUCCUAUCCUGGCACAAGAGGUGAGCUGAGCUGGUUUAAGGGAGGAGUGGCAGCUUUUAUGGAGUUCCUUUUAACUUACAGGAAAAUGAGUUUAAAUGGAUCAAUUUCUUAUUACUCAGUGCAGUUAAAAAGAACAUUAGAGAAAUUUCAUCAGCAUUAGUUUACUACAUUAUUAAUAAAGUUAUCAUUAAAAUCUCAACAGUUGCUCUGCAAGCUAUUUGAACUAUCACAGUUAUCUUUUAUACUUAGCAUGGGAAUAGCUGCAGCAUCUCGAACCGCGCUGUGGUUCCCACGUGUUUGAAAGCUGGUGUAAAUCUGCCUUGUCCUUCUCUGGUCUGUAACAUCUGAGUGUUUAACAGCUGUGGUGUGUAUACAUGUACUGUUUUUAGGUAAUCUUGUAAAUCAUAGUAAAUGGUAUUAAGAAGUAAGUCUGGUAACAAAAAGGUGCUUCAUUUUUCUGCCAUGCUGUCAUGAGAACUUCCUUGAGUCACAUUUUGUUAUAAAGUGUUUUCUUCAGAGUCACCAGUUGUGGAAAAAAGUGGGCAUGAUUCAUUGACGUGAUAGUACAGAAAAUGAAGUUGUACUGUGUAGUUCAUGCUUCUCAGGCUUAGUCUAUUUUUCCUUGGGAAGACUACUUAGACAUUUGGAUAAAACCAUAAAGAGUCUUAAUCUCAAAUAUUUAUCUCUUGGAUCAGAAUAUGCUACUGCGUAGCUAAGGUAUGGAAUGAUAAGGUUGUUGUGUUCAUUCAUGGAGAAACCAUAUUUGUCCUGUGAGUUUACAAGAGCUUUCCUUUCUCUUUAGGUCUAAGUGAGGAUGACUUUUGCUUUUUCAGAUUGAAAUGUUCAGCAGCACUGAGUUGUUUAGCAGUUUGUAGUUGUAUAAGGUAUAUGUAGACUUGUGGUUGUCCAUGAGCCUUGUUUAAAUAUCUGGAAAGAAACUUGUAAGAGAAACUUAUAUAUUGCUGUCAGGGAGACCUUUAUCAUUGUUUUCCACAGCGUAUUUUGAGCUGCAUCUCUAGCACAUAAAGUUUUAAGUAUUCUAACCUAAAAUACCAUGGCUUGCUGAAAUGUUUCAGAAAUUAUCAUUGAACUAUUGUU
rnacentral:lncRNA from 7 species